UUCUUUUAUAGAAGAAAAUAAGGGGUGGGGGUCUCAGCAAGCCCCAGACCAUGCGCACCCAUAAUAUGGGACUUGGCUCUUGGGGACCCUCAGCGUCUCUGAACCUCCUCAGCUGCUGCCCUCCCUCAGCCCGAUCUUCCGGUGUUGAAAGUGGGCGGUCUCUGCUUCACAUCUGCUGCUCAUCUCCAGCCUCUUCAUUCGUCUGCUCUCUUCAACCACCACAGAAGUAUCUGAGCGAAACGGCAGAAGACGGGAUCAUAACUGCUUACAUGAUUCAGCUGAUCAUCUGGCAGAAAUAAAGAAACAACUUUCUUCAAUGACUGAGGAGAGAGACCUGCUGACUGAAAAGACCAAAGAGCUGAAAACACUGCUAUGUUUGUCCAAUCAGACCUUUUUGGCCAGGAUGAAGGGAGUAUCUGCCAUCAAACAAGAAGACAGCCGCAUACAAAACAUGUCCUGUAGGAUGGAACAAGUUCAAUCAUAGAUGCUAUCUCCAAUCGGAAAGCUCUGAUUCGUGGGAUGCAGCCAGAAAGAACUGCACAGACGAAGAAGCCGAUCUGAUAGUCAUUGACAGCCCUGAAGAAGAGACUUUCCUCUCUACAAUCAUCAAUGAACAAACUUGGAUUGGUUUGAAUGACAAAGAACAGGAGGGAACAUGGAAAUGGGUAGAUGGUACUCCACCAACUCUGAUGCACUGGGCAUGGAGUCAACCUGAUGAUGGUGGAGAUGAGGACUGUGCUUUUGUCAUGAAUCACGGCAAAAAUUCUUGGAUGGAUUAUCGAUGUUCAGCUUCUUUUCAUUGGAUCUGUGAAAAAACACUAAACUGCAGUACAGUUUACUGACAAUGAUCUAUUAUUACAUUUUUUGCAGUUUUUUUUCCUAUCAUUCUAUUUUAAGUUUAGUCUGUUUUAUUCUGUUAUACUUAUACGUGUAGAUGCAUGUAUACCAUACGUGCAUCUACUGGGAGGCUAAGGAGUAGCACUGGCAGCUGCCAGUAUUCUAUUCUAGUGUUUAAAGUGUUGAUUUUUGUGUUUCUUGAAUUUUUGAAUUGUAUUUUUAUUUAAUUACCAUUGCUUUAUUUCCUGUGAUAAAAAAAAAAUAGUUCUAAUAAGAAUUAUUAGAAGAAUGAUUAUUAUAAUUAUUGAGUCUCAAGAGAAUAGAUUUUGCACAGAUCUUUAUGAUCAAGCCAUUGGAGCAGUCCAGUUUAUAGCUAGCUUAAAUAUAUUGUUUGUAAUUUCUUGUAGAAAAUACAUGUUCUGAAGGAUGGAGUAAGUUCAACUGUAGCUGCUAUGUCCGGUCUCAAAGCUCUGGUUCCUGGGAUGCAGCCAGAAAGGACUGCAGAGACAGAGGAGCAGAUCUGGUGGUUAUUGGCAGCCCUGAAGAACAGACCUUCCUCUCUACAAUCAGCACAAGAAGAGUUUGGCUUGGUUUGACUGAUGAAAAACAGGAGGGAACAUGGAAAUGGGUGGAUGGAACUCCACUGACUCUGUCGUACUGGGGAUCGACUCAACCUGAUAAUGGUGGAGAAGAAGACUGUGCUCAUGUCUACAGUGGUGAGGACAUGAGCAUGAAUGACCUUUCAUGCUCAACUUCUCUUAAAUGGAUCUGUGAAAAAGCACCAGACUACUGUAUCAUUUCUUGAAGAUUUUCUACUUGUUACUUCAGUGGAGACUUUCCGAGAGAAAUUAUCAAACACCUGCAUAGCUCAUUAUGUGUUUAAAUUUUGGGUUUCUGUUUGGUUUUUAUUGCAGUGUUUUAAAGUUUUGAUUUUUGUCUUUGUUAACAAAGUAUACUAACUUUGUGUUAGUCAAAUGUUACAUGAAAAUGGACAAUGAGACAAAACAUUUUGAGCAUGCAAUUUAUUGAAAACAAAGCUGUUUUACAGCUGAUCUAAAGUUUAGGACCACAUCUCCCAAAAAAAAGAAAUCUGUAAACCCCACAAAACAGAAAUCAAAGUUCCAAACAUGAACUCAGUAAUGAGUAGCUCCACCGUUAUUGUUGAUCACUUCAAAAAUUCAUUGCAGAAUGCUUGAUACAAGCAUUUCCAUGAGGUGAGUGGGAACACUUCUCCAAGUGGUGAAGAUGGUCGCACAAAGGGCAUUUACUGUCUGGAACCGUUGUCCUUUUUUAUAAACUUCCCUUGCCAUCCUUCCCCAAAGGUUCGCAAUUGGAUUUAGAUCAGGGAAACACGCAGGAUGGUUCAAAACAGUGAUGUUAUUCUCCUGGAAAAAGUCCCUUGUCCUGCAGGCAUUGUGUACUGUAGCAUUGUCAUGUUGAAAAACCCAGUCGUUACCACAAAGAUGAGGGCCCUCAGUCAUGAGGGAUGCUCUCUGCAACAUCUGGACAUAGCCAGUGGCCACUGAAGGAAAAAGCACCCCCCGCCACUGUGGCGCGUAGAAAACAUCUCAGGUGGGAUCUGCUUGUCAUGCCAGUAACGUUGGAAACCAUCAGGACCAUCAAGGUUAAAUUUUUUAUCAGAGAAUACAACUUUCUUCCACCUUUCAAUAUCCCAUGUUUGGUCCUCUCUUGCAAAGUCCAAAUGGUCAGUUCUGUGGCAUUCAAGGAGAUGAGGCCUUUAGCGACAUUUU